AGUUCCAGCAUCAGCCCUGGAGCUGCUUGGGUUCCGUCAGCCUGUCAAGAUUUCCCAUUUCUUUUGAGGAAAGGGUGCAGACCCAAAAAAACCAAGAAACCAACUCUCAUUUGUGCUUUCAGUGCUUGGAAACCCAGAAGGGAAACCAUGCCAUUUUUGGGCCAAGACUGGAGAUCUCCAGGAUGGAGAUGGAUUAAAACAGAAGAUGGCUGGAAAAGAUGUGACUCCUUCAGUCCAGAACUUGAGGAUGAGAGCAGCCAGCUCAACAACAUCAGUCACACUGUCAUCUUAACUGAUGAUGAUGAUGAAGAAGAAAUAUACAGAACUGAAGAUUGUGAAUUUGCAGCCAAGAAAAGGAAAAAAGACCAUUUUCGGAAUAAAUCAAAAUCCCAAUGUUUUUAUCGUGAAAAAUGGAUCUAUGUUCACAAAGAAAGCACCAGAGAAUAUGUUUUCUUCUUUUUCAAGAGACAUGGCUAUUGCACAUUGGGAGAAGCUUUUAAUCGCUUAGAUUUUUCAAGUGCAAUUCAGGACAUCAGAAGGUUCAAUUAUGUGGUCAAAUUGUUGCAGUUAAUUGCAAAAUCUCAGCUAACCUCACUGAGUGGUGCAGCACAGAAGAACUACUUCAAUAUUUUGGACAAAAUUGUACGAAAGGUUUUGGAAGACCAACACAAUCCACGCUUAAUCAAAGAUCUUCUUCAGGAUCUGAGUUCUACUCUCUGUAUACUGAUUAGGGGAGUAGGGAAAUCUGUGUUGGUGGGGAACAUCAAUAUUUGGAUUUGCCGAUUAGAAACUAUCCUUACAUGGCAACAACAACUAAAAAAUCUUCAGAUGAACAAGCAAGUCAACAAUGGUCUCACGCUCAGCGAUCUUCCUCUGCAUAUGCUGAAUAACAUUUUAUACAGGUUCUCAGAUGGCUGGGACAUUAUUACCCUAGGUCAAGUGACCCCAACACUGUACAUGCUCAGCGAAGACAGGCAGUUAUGGAAAAAACUUUGCCAGUACCAUUUUGCAGAAAAACAGUUCUGUAGGCAUUUGAUCCUGUCGGAAAAAGGUCACAUUGACUGGAAGCUGAUGUACUUUGCACUUCAGAAAUGUUAUCCAAUAAAGGAACAAUAUGGGGACACAUUACAUUUUUGUCGACAUUGUAGUAUUCUGUUUUGGAAGGACUACCACCUUGCUUUGUUAUUCAAGCAGGUGCAGCUGUCAUUGAACUCAAAAAUUUAUGCCCUCUUACACAAAGAAUGAAUUUUGCACAAAGUAGGCAUUAAUGGCUGUUUCCACAUUCUAAUGGAUUUAGUUCAGCACUGAAAUCUAAGAACAGUAAAGGCAACAUCACAGAAUUCUGUCUCUGCAGUAUGGAACAAAGGAUACAGGACAUCCCUGCACUGCCAAUGAUCCAGAUACCUGUUUCAUGCCAGUUUCUCCUCAGCACUUCAUUGAUCUCUUCAAAUUUUAAGAGGUGCAAUGGCCUUGUUUUUGUUCUUAUUUUUGGUCAUCUUUUUGAAGAAUCAUGCAGUAUGUAUUAUGCUUUGUGUGCAAUAUCUUUUUAAAUGUACUUCAUAGUAAAAAGGGAUGUCUAGGAGGGAGGGGGGAAAUUGGAGAGGUGUAUUCCAAAUGUUGUUGUGUGCAGAAAUGAACUGAAGAGGAAUAAAUAUUUCCAACGAAGACACAUUCUGUAGGCAUGUCUACAAAAGGCUUUUUUGAAUCCAAGAAAGAGUACAUUUUUAGUCCUGCCUUUAAGUCCAUUUUGUACUGAUUUAACAUUUCAUUAAGCCUGUUGAGACUUGGGGGAGAGAGUUGUUGGAAGGGCUAUUCUUGGAGUGACCAAAAGCAAUUUGUCUUAAUCCUUCACUCUUUUUAUGCCACCAUUUUCCAAGUACUUACGUACACUUUGCACAUUUAUAAAUAUUCCUCUGAUACCUUUUUGGACUCCUUCAUAAAUAUCAAGUCAAUUACCAAGUUGGCAUUAAUCAUUGUGAGUUUGCGUGUGAAUAAAAUAAAGAGUUGUGAUUAUUUGUUGUUGAACCUGUUAUGAAGGAAACCAACCUCUGUACAUAAUUAUGCAAAAUAUUUAUUUUCUUAAAAGGUAUUUUAUUAACUACAUCAAACCUGUUUAAAGACAUCCUAAAUAGUAUGGGAGGCUGCUCAGUAGCUGCUGAAGAAUGAUGGAUUUUUCCAAAGGUAGCCACUGUCUUUUAUUUUUAUUUAAUUUUUAUUUUACAUUUGGUGUUAAACUGUUGCAGAAGGACUUUUAGACAUCCUCAAGAAAGGACACAUUACUGAGCUUUAAAUUACUGAGCAGAAAAUUAAUACAGCAUGUUGCUAGGCCUCUGGUACAGUGGUGGUAUUACAUUAUUCUAGUAACUGAGGCUCUGAGCUGGAAAUUCUUUGCACUAAAAUGUCGCUAGUUGAUCUGGAGCACUUCCUGCUGACUAACCCCAUAGUGACGUGAAUUCUGCAGGAAGCUACCUUCUUAUACCUUGUAAAUUACAGAAGAGGGGAGGGGCACUGUCCAGAGACAGGAAAAAAUAACAAAGUUGUUCACAAAGUUUUGUGGAGAGAUCAUUUACCAACUGUGUAAUGUAAAGACAAAAUACAAAAUAUAUAUCACAUUGCUUGUUUUGAAUCUAGUUUUGUACACAAUGUAAUAAAUCAUGUUUUACCUAUUA